rnacentral:rRNA from 1 species
GACAGAGGUGGCGAGCGUUGUUCGGAUUUACUGGGCGUAAAGCGCGGGUAGGCGGUUCGGCAAGUCAGAUGUGAAAUCCCACCGCUUAACGGUGGAACGGCGUCUGAUACUGCCGAACUUGAGUGCAGGAGAGGAGAGUGGAAUUUCCGGUGUAGCGGUGAAAUGCGUAGAGAUCGGAAGGAACACCAGUGGCGAAGGCGGCUCUCUGGACUGCAACUGACGCUGAGACGCGAAAGCGUGGGGAGCAAACAGG